UGCAGUCGAACGGGAAAGUGGGCAACCAUGAGUACAGUGGCGUACGGGUGAGUAACACGUGGAUUAUCUAACUCUUUGUGGGGAAUAACCCUGGGAAACCGGGGCUAAUACCGCAUAAGCUCGAGAGAGGAAAGCAGCAAUGCGCUGAGAGAGGAGUCCGCGGCCGAUUAGCUAGUUGGCAGGGUAAAAGCCUACCAAGGCAAAGAUCGGUAGCCGGCCUGAGAGGGCACACGGCCACACUGGCACUGAAACACGGGCCAGACUCCUACGGGAGGCAGCAGUGGGGAAUCUUGCACAAUGGGGGCAACCCUGAUGCAGCGACGCCGCGUGAGCGAUGAAGCCCUUCGGGGUGUAAAGCUCUUUCGGCAGGGAAGAUGAUGACGGUACCUGCAGAAGCAGCUGCGGCUAACUACGUGCCAGCAGCCGCGGUAAUACGUAGGCAGCGAGCGUUGUUCGGAGUUACUGGGCGUAAAGGGUGUGUAGGCGGCUUUUUAAGUUUGGUGUGAAAUCUCCCGGCUUAACUGGGAGGGUGCGCCGAAUACUGAGAGGCUAGAGUGCGGGAGAGGAGAGUGGAAUUCCUGGUGUAGCGGUGAAAUGCGUAGAUAUCAGGAGGAACACCGGUGGUGUAGACGGCUCUCUGGACCGUAACUGACGCUGAGACACGAAAGCGUGGGUAGCAAACAGGAUUAGAUACCCUGGUAGUCCACGCCCUAAACGAUGCAUAUUUGGUGUGGGUCAUUCAGUUGAUCCGUGCCGGAGCUAACGCGUUAAAUAUGCCGCCUGGGGAGUACAGUCGCAAGGCUGAAACUCAAAGGAAUUGACGGGGGCCCGCACAAGCGGUGGAGCAUGUGGUUCAAUUCGACGCACGCGAAGAACCUUACCUGGGCUCGAACGGCUGGUCAACGGCGGUGGAAAC
rnacentral:rRNA from 1 species